rnacentral:rRNA from 1 species
UACGUAGGUGGCAAGCGUUGUUCGGAAUUAUUGGGCGUAAAGGGCGCGUAGGCGGUUUGUUAAGUCGGCUGUGAAAGCCCGGGGCUCAACCCCGGAGGGUCGGCCGAUACUGGCGAACUAGAGUACAGAAGAGGUAGCUGGAAUUCCUGGUGUAGCGGUGAAAUGCGUAGAUAUCAGGAGGAACACCUGAGGCGAAGGCGGGCUACUGGGCUGAUACUGACGCUGAGGCGCGAAAGCCAGGGGAGCAAACGGGAUUAGAAACCCCCGUAGUCC